UCCCUUGUAGUCCAGUGGUCAGGAUACUAUACUUUCACUGGAGCGGCCAGGGUUUGAUUCCCUGUAGUGAG
rnacentral:tRNA from 1 species